UACAUAGGGGGCAAGCGUUAUCCGGAAUUACUGGGUGUAAAGGGUGCGUAGGCGGCCAGAUAAGUCAGAUGUGAAAACCUUGAGCUUAACUUAAGGAAUGCAUUUGAAACUAUUAGGCUAGAGUACAGGAGAGGUAAGUGGAAUUUCUAGUGUAGCGGUAAAAUGCGUAGAUAUUAGGAAGAACACCAGUGGCGAAGGCGACUUACUGGACUGAAACUGACGCUGAGGCACGAAAGCGUGGGGAGCGAACAGG
rnacentral:rRNA from 1 species